CUUUGCAGGGGCUAGGUGGGGGAGAUUACCUGCUAAACGGAGGGCAGGUAGAAUAUGGCUGAAAGGCAAAGGUGUCUAUAGCACCUGUGAAGCAAGAUCAAAAGAAUACGGGAAAGACACUGAUCUCUGAAAAAGUCAAACAAAGAGACCAUGGGUUCAACACUUGAGACUUCAAUAGCAGAUGCCAACAAGCCAUACCAAAGCCUGAAGAAGUCACUAAUGUGAAAGCCAAAGGACAAAGAGGAAAAUCUGAGGAGCUAUAAAAGAGACAUCAUACCAGACUCUACUCCAGAAUGGAAAUGUCCAAUGCCUAAUCAGAAGCCAGGGAGUAGGGUGAAUGCGAUAGAUAAGAGAUCAUCAUCCCAACCUGCAGCCCUCAUUACUGCUCGUUCUAUGGAGUAGUCAUUUUUUGUUUUUGUUGUUUCUUUACUUCUCUAAGAAACUUGCUUUUGCUUAAAAAAAAAUAAAAAUAAAGGAGAUAAGAGAACAUCCAAUAAAAGAAGGCAAAUGUUGUGUGCAUAGAGAUUACUAGGUUAAGGAAAGCAGGCCAACUAGCAUUAAACCAACCCAUACCUUUGUUCAACACUUAGAAUGAAAUCUAAAUUUAUUUCUCUGGCGUUGAAUAAGCCUAUGACAUCAACCUGAACUACUCUUCUGCUCACAGCAUUCCAGACACAUUGACUAUUUCAUGCAUCUUUGUCCUUAUUGCUAUACCUGGAAUUCUA
rnacentral:lncRNA from 1 species